ACCCGAUCCAAACCCAAACGAGAAAACACGAGAACUUGGUUCUGCUAAAACCCUAAACCCUUGCGCCGUAAAGCCUUAACAAUUCUCACAAUUCUCUGUUUCAUCCAGUAAAAUUUUAGUAAUGGCUUCUUCUUGCAACAGACUCAUCCAAAGAUCAUCCUUGUCGUCCAUCAGGUCCGCCAUCCGAUCCAGCGCUCCAAAAUCUCCCAACACCAGAUCCGCCACCUCAUCUCCGUGCCCUCGGCACACGAACUCAUCUCCCUCCCCUACUCGCUGGUCCUCUCUCUCCAGAUCCCCGUCUGAACUGGGAUGCGUGCAGUCGCUGUUGCCACUACACAGCGUGGUGGCGUCAGCAAGGAUGACGUCAUGUCUGAGCACAACAUCGAAGAGUUGUCGAUCACUUUCACAGGGUACACUCUGCUGCACCUCUCCCGGCCUCUAGUACUUGCUUUUUCUCUUUUUGACAGCACAUAAGAAAUAGAUUGGGAUUUGCAAGACCUGUCAAUUAUGCCCACUGCAUCAUUAUCAAAGUUAGGUUUGUCAGUUCCAAGGUGACUCAUUGCGGAUACCACCACAAGGGUUAUCUACAGCUAAUUGGAGAGGCAGCAUAUUUUUAGCUUUUCGUAUGAGAAGGCUUCAGUAUUUUAUGAAAUACUGCUUGAACCUUGAACUGAUUCUAUUUUUUUUUUCACCAGUGGAGAGAAGAUAUUGUUUCUGAGAAAUAAGAAUUAUACCUCAUUGUAUAAUAUAAUAACAUUCAUGAAUGUUUAAUUGGCCAAAGGUCGACUAUUUUUCUUCUUCAA